rnacentral:rRNA from 1 species
UACAGAGGUGCCGAGCGUUAGGCGGAAUCACUGGGCUUAAAGCGCGUGUAGGCGGGUCGUUAAGUGUCCGCGUGAAAUCCCACGGCUCAACCGUGGAACUGCCGGGCAUACUGGCGACCUUGAGGCACUUAGGGGCGAGCGGAACAAAUGGUGGAGCGGUGAAAUGCGUAGAUAUCAUUUGGAACGCCAACGGUGAAAACAGCUCGCUGGGGAUGUGCUGACGCUGAGACACGAAAGCCAGGGGAGCAAACGGG